GAUUCUGAUUAUGGGAAGAGACGAAGGCUUACAUCAGAGUAACAUAGUAAACUGCCUACAAUUAGCUAAGUUCAGAAAGUAUUGGGUUCAUCAAAUUUAUUUUGAAUCUCAUUCAAGGGGUUUUUUGGGUUCUUCAUUUCCUGAGCUGCAGUUCUCAUUUCAUUACCUGAAGUUUCUCUGUUUGCUUCUUCCCAUGGCAGCAUGGAUGCAUUAUCUUGCAAAAGAGCUUGAAGGCAUAUGAUCUUGAGAAUCAAGACUAUUCGAUGGAGUUCAAGGUUUUUCUCGGAGAUGACAGGGACCUCAACCUUCUAUGCGAGGAACACUGCAUGGUGGUUGCUAUUUUGCCUGCAUUGAUGUAGAAGUGGAACUUUUGGUUUUAAGUUGUUAGCUUU
rnacentral:misc_RNA from 1 species